rnacentral:rRNA from 1 species
AUGAAGUUGGCGAUUGGAGAAUGGUGUUGGGUGUCAAAUGAUGCAACUGACACCCGUAGGAGAACAGAAGCCCGCACACAAAGCUGUGCAGCGGGAAAGCCAAACCUCGACAAAAGAACUGCUAGUGCAACACUCGCUUGUGCCGACCGGUGCCAGGAUGGCCUCGGCCCCCGCCGUCCUCCAUUGAAGUACCUCCCAAGGCAGCUGAAAGUCGUCUUGAACCAACGCAGUGGAGAAGAACCACUUGUCUGUGGUCUCGCCCGCCUCCUCGUUGGCGGAAGCGUUGUCCUUCCACUCGUCAGCGGUGGUGGCCUUCGGAACGCUCCGGCCACGACCUCGACCGCGGUCUCCCUCGACUCGCACCAUCAGCGGCUCGCUUGGGUGGAGAAGGAAAGAAAGGGAGGGCUCGAGGAGCAAGAGCUUGCGACAAUGGCGGUUCCGACGGGGGAGGGAGAAGCAGUAGCGGAAUCUACGAGAUGA